rnacentral:rRNA from 1 species
CGCGUAGGUGGUAGUGUAAGUCUGGGGUGGAAUCCCAGGGCUUAACCCUGGAACUGCCUUGGAAACUGCGUUACUUGAGUCAGUGAGGGGAGGGUAGAAUUCCUGGUGUAGCGGUGAAAUGCGUAGAUAUCAGGAGGAAGGCCUGUGGCGAAGGCGGCCCUCUGGCGCUGGACUGACACUGAGGCGCGAAAGCGUGGGGAGCAAACAGGAUUAGAUACCCUGGUAGUCCACGCCCUAAACGGUGGGCACUAGGUGUAGGGCUCGUAAGGGUUCUGUGCCGAAGGGAAACCAUUAAGUGCCCCGCCUGGGGAGUACGGCCGCAAGGUUGAA